rnacentral:rRNA from 1 species
AGACCCGAAACCCGGUGAUCUAGCCAUGGGCAGGUUGAAGGUUGGGUAACACUAACUGGAGGACCGAACCGACUAAUGUUGAAAAAUUAGCGGAUGACCUGUGGCUGGGGGUGAAAGGCCAAUCAAACCGGGAGAUAGCUGGUUCUCCCCGAAAGCUAUUUAGGUAGCGCCUCGUGAAUUCAUCUCCGGGGGUAGAGCACUGUUUCGGCUAGGGGGCCAUCCCGGCUUACCAACCCGAUGCAAACUGCGAAUACCGGAGAAUGUUAUCACGGGAGACACACGGCGGGUGCUAACGUCCGUCGUGAAGAGGGAAACAACCCAGACCGCCAGCUAAGGUCCCAAAGUCAUGGUUAAGUGGGAAACGAUGUGGGAAGGCCCAGACAGCCAGGAUGUUGGCUUAGAAGCAGCCAUCAUUUAAAGAAAGCGUAAUAGCUCACUGGUCGAGUCGGCCUGCGCGGAAGAUGUAACGGGGCUAAACCAUGCACCGAAGCUGCGGCAGCGACGCUGAUGCGUUGUUGGGUAGGGGAGCGUUCUGUAAGCCUGCGAAGGUGGCCUGUGAGGGUUGCUGGAGGUAUCAGAAGUGCGAAUGCUGACAUAAGUAACGAUAAAGCGGGUGAAAAGCCCGCUCGCCGGAAGACCAAGGGUUCCUGUCCAACG